rnacentral:rRNA from 1 species
CCUACGGGAGGCAGCAGUCGGGAAUAUUGCGCAAUGGAGGAAACUCUGACGCAGUGACGCCGCGUAUAGGAAGAAGGUUUUCGGAUUGUAAACUAUUGUCGUUAGGGAAGAUAAAAGACUGUACCUAAGGAGGAAGCCCCGGCUAACUCCGUGCCAGCAGCCGCGGUAAUACGGAGGAUGCGAGCGUUAUCCGGAUUUAUUGGGUUUAAAGGGUGCGUAGGCGGGCUGUUAAGUCAGCGGUAAAAGCCCGGGGCUCAACCCCGGCGAGCCGUUGAAACUGGCUGUCUUGAGAUGUCGAGAGGUAU